rnacentral:rRNA from 1 species
AACGAACGCUGGCGGCACGCCUAAUACAUGCAAGUCGUACGAGAAAGUUGGGCAACCGAUGAGUACAGUGGCGCACGGGUGAGUAACACGUAGGUGACCUGCCCUUUAGAGUGGGGAUAACAGGAAGAAGUUUCUGCUAAUACCACAUACGUUGAGAGAAAGUGAAAUUAUCUCAGGAAAGAUGGCGACCCUUUUAUUAGGAGCUAUCGCUAAAGGAAGGGCCUGCGGGCCAUUAGCUAGUUGGGUGGGGUAAAGGCCUACCAAGGCGAUGAUGGAUAGCCGGUCUGAGAGGAUGAUCGGCCACACUGGAACUG